rnacentral:rRNA from 1 species
GUGAGUAACACGUAGACAACCUGCCCCCUCGGCCCCGGGACAACCUCUGGAAACGGAGGCUGAUACCGGACGGGCAGGAGAGGGGCAUCCCUCUCCUGUGAAAGGCCCUGCAAGGGGCCGCGAGGGGAUGGGUCUGCGGUGCAUUAGCUAGUUGGCGGGGCAGCGGCCCACCAAGGCGACGAUGCAUAGCCGGCCUGAGAGGGCGGACGGCCACAUUGGGACUGAGACACGGCCCGGACUCCUACGGGAGGCAGCAUG